GUUAUUUACUCAAAACAAAACCAACCGAAGAUUCCGGGAUACGAUUACUCCUUAAACACAAUAUUAACUCCUUUCUUUUUGGCCUGGCAACCCAACAUUCGCUCCUGAUUUGGAGCUCCUAUUCAAGCUAUUCCACUGCAUCUUCGCAUCGUUUUUGUUCCGUGACAAUUACGUUACCGCCAACAGCCACCACUCGCCACCCCACCGCAACAAUCGAUUUGACCACCACCUGCCGCCGCUACUCGAACCAUUGGAAUCACGAACCAGCCGCCACACUCCGCUAACCACUGUAGCACCUUUGUUCGCCGGAGCUUUCUACGACGCGCAGUCAUCACGAAGCUGUGAGCAACUACUCCUGUUAUCUUCUUCUGAACCCUUCGUUUUUACUCGACUAUGGAGGUUCUUGGUCAUUGAGGACGACCCCUUGGUUUUUGCCUUGCUUUUCUCGCUAUCUAAGGUAAUAUGGGAUGAUCUGGGAUUUCAGUGAGGAGCGUUAGGAAGUUGCUCGCCAAGAUUCUUUAUUUCAGUAAUGUAAUAAAUGUAAUUAGGAUCUUUUAUUUAAUGCUAUGGAUUGAUUUUAGUUUUGAUAUCUGUAAGAGUGACACGUUAGCCUUAGCGGGGUUGGGGUGUUACACAAACAAUAUUGUUAGUGGCACAAAAGCCUAGUCACAAGGACGUUUUAUAUAUUAUUAGCCAGGAUUUCAGAGAAUCAAGGCAUGAAGGUUU
rnacentral:lncRNA from 1 species